GACGAACGCUGGCGGCGUGCUUAACACAUGCAAGUCGAACGGAAAGGCCCUGCUUUUGUGGGGGGCUCGAGUGGCGAACGGGUGAGUAACACGUGAGUAACCUGCCCUUGACUUUGGGAUAACUUCAGGAAACUGGGGCUAAUACCGGAUAGGAGCUCCUGCUGCAUGGUGGGGGUUGGAAAGUUUCGGCGGUUGGGGAUGGACUCGCGGCUUAUCAGCUUGUUGGUGGGGUAGUGGCUUACCAAGGCUUUGACGGGUAGCCGGCCUGAGAGGGUGACCGGCCACAUUGGGACUGAGAUACGGCCCAGACUCAUACGGAAGGCAGCAGUGGGGAAUAUUGCACAAUGGGCGGAAGCCUGAUGCAGCAACGCCGCGUGCGGGAUGACGGCCUUCGGGUUGUAAACCGCUUUCGCCUGUGACGAAGCGUGAGUGACGGUAAUGGGUAAAGAAGCACCGGCUAACUACGUG
rnacentral:rRNA from 1 species